GCCCUAAUAGUAUAUUGAUUACUUUGGUCUUGUAAACCAAAAAUGAAGACU
rnacentral:tRNA from 1 species